CCUACAAUGCAGUCGAGCGGAGGGAGGUAGCUUGCUACUGAUCUUAGCGGCGGACGGGUGAGUGAUGCUUAGGAAUCUGCCUAGUAGUGGGGGAGACAUUUCGAAAGGAAUGCUGAUACCGCAUACGUCCUACGGGAGAAAGGAGGGGAUCUUCGGACCUUGGGCUAUUAGAUGAGCCUAAGUCGGAUUACCUAGUUGGUGGGGUAAAGGCCUACCAAGGCGACCAUCUGUAGGGGGUCUGAGAGGAUGAUCCGGCACACUGGGACUGACACACGGCCCAUACUCCUACGGGAGGCAUCAGUGGGGAAUAUUGGACAAUGGGCGCAAGCCUGAUCCAGCCAUGCCGCGUGUGUGACGAAGGCCUUAUGGUUGUAAAGCACUUUAAGCGAGGAGGAGGCUACUUUAAAUAAUACCUACAGAUAGUGGACGUUACUCGCAUAAUAAGCACCGGCUAACUCUGUGCCAGCAACCACGUUAAUACAGAGGGUGCAAGCCUUAAUCGGAUUUACUGAUCGUAAAGCGCUCGUAGGCGACUAAUUAAAUCAAAUGUGAAAUCCCCGAUCUUAACUUGCGAAUUGCAAUCGAUACUGGUUAUCUAGAGUGUGGGAAAUUAUGGUAGAAAUACGAGAGUAGCAGUGCAAGUCGUACAGAUAUGUACGUAUACAUAUGGCGGAAGCCCCCAUCUGGACGC
rnacentral:rRNA from 1 species